UACGGAGGGUGCAAGCGUUAUCCGGAUUCACUGGGUUUAAAGGGUGCGUAGGUGGGCAGGAAAGUCAGUGGUGAAAUCUCCGGGCUUAACCCGGAAACUGCCGUUGAUACUAUUUGUCUUGAAUAUUGUGGAGGUAAGCGGAAUAUGUCAUGUAGCGGUGAAAUGCUUAGAUAUGACAUAGAACACCAAUUGCGAAGGCAGCUGGCUACACGAAUAUUGACACUGAUGCACGAAAGCGUGGGGAUCAAACAGG
rnacentral:rRNA from 1 species